UGUAGUUCAUGGUGUUUGGUGUGUGGGGUUGAAGAAAAGGAGACAAGAUGUGACAUUGUUUUAGGCAAGGAAAAACAACACAAGAAAGAGGAUGCAGAAAAAAACUUUGCACCUUUCCCCCUGUAUGUUGGGAACAUGGAAACUGCUAGACUGGAUCCAAUUCAGAAUGCCAGUGAGUAUGGGAAAAGAGUUUGAUUUUGAGAGAAGAAAAAUACUAAUUCUCAUCCACUAUCAUGGAGUAAACAAUACGACGCACAACAUGCAGAUGCACAGCAGGCCAGAAUUUCAAUACUAGAAGACACCUUCUUUUUUUAUGAAAUAUA